rnacentral:rRNA from 1 species
GAGACCCGUACCCACAGUUGCCAGCGGCUGCUCGGCAGGCUGGGUACACUAUGGGGACCGCCUCUGCUAAAGAGGAGGAAGGAGCGGGCGACGGUAGGUCAGUAUGCCCCGAAUUCUCCGGGCUACACGCGGGCUACAAUGGAUGGGACAAUGGGCUCCGACACCGAAAGGUGGAGGCAAUCUCUUAAACCCAUUCUUAGUUCGGAUUGAGGGCUGAAACUCGCCCUCAUGAAGCUGGAAUCCGUAGUAAUCGCGUUUCAACAUAGCGCGGUGAAUAC